rfam:Glossina fuscipes fuscipes unplaced genomic scaffold Scaffold513, whole genome shotgun sequence.
GCAGUCGUGGCCGAGCGGUUAAGGCGUCUGACCAGAAAUCAGAUUUGCUCUGGGCGCCUAGGUUCGAAUCCUAGCGACUGCA